rnacentral:rRNA from 1 species
UUCAGUGAAAUCGAGUAGGGCGGGACACGUGAUAUCCUGUCUGAAUAUGGGGGGACCAUCCUCCAAGGCUAAAUACUACUGACUGACCGAUAGUGAACCAGUACCGUGAGGGAAAGGCGAAAAGAACCCCUGUGAGGGGAGUGAAAUAGAACCUGAAACCGUGUACGUACAAGCAGUAGGAGCAGGCUUUGUCCUGUGACUGCGUACCUUUUGUAUAAUGGGUCAGCGACUUAUAUUCAGUGGCAAGGUUAACCAUCUAGGGGAGCCGUAGGGAAACCGAGUCUUAACUGGGCGUUCAGUCUCUGGAUAUAGACCCGAAACCAGGUGAUCUAGCCAUGGGCAGG